rnacentral:rRNA from 1 species
AUGACCGCCUCCGCCCCCGCCUCGCCCGCCGCCUCCCCGCCCCGCCGCCGCCGGCACCGCGACGGCUCCCCGCGCCGCGGCGACCACCGCAAGCCCCGCCCGUCGCCGUCCCCGUCCCCUUCCCCCUCCCCCGACCGCGACGCCGACCGCCGCCGCCGCAGAUCUAGGGCUUCCCCGCCCGACCGCGAUGCCGACCGCCGCCGCCGCCACGACCCCAAGCCCUCGGAGGACAACGGAGUCGCCAAGCCCAGCAAGGCCGACGACCCCCCGCGCUCGCGCGCUAGGGUUUCCGACGGGGAGGAGGAGGACGGCCGCCGGGCGAGGCGGCCUAGGGCUUCCGACGACGAGAAGGAGGGCGACCGCCGGCGCAGGCGUCCCAGGGAUUCCGACGACGGGAGGGACGACCGUCGCGGCAGCAAGCGCGACCGCGACCGGGACCGGCGGCGCCGCCGCCGGAGCCCCAGCUCCGAGUCGGGAUCCUCACCCGACGACCGCCGGAGGCGUCACCGCCGUGAUGAGGCCUCUAGGAGGCGGGGGGAGGACCGUGGCCGCGAGGAGCGCCGGGCCAGCCCCGAGAGGAAGGAGCCGACGCCACCACUGCCACCCCCACCGCCGCUGCCGGAGAUGAUCCCCGGCCGCACGGGAGGGAUCUACAUCCCGCCUUUCCGCAUGGCGCAGAUGCUGCGGGAUGUGGAGGACAAGGCGAGCCCCGAGUACCAGAGGCUCACGUGGGAUGCUCUCAAGAAGAGCAUCAAUGGGCUGGUCAACAAGGUGAAUGCCACCAAUAUCAAGAAUCUCGUGCCGGAGCUGUUGGCCGAGAACCUGGUUCGCGGGCGGGGCCUCUUCUGCCAGUCUUGCAUAAAGUCGCAAAUGGCUUCACCUGGGUUUACAGAUGUGUUUGCGGCGCUGGUUGCGGUUGUCAAUACCAAGUUCCCUGAGAUUGGUCGGCUGCUGCUCGUACGUGUCAUGCUUCAGCUCAAGAGGGCCUAUAAGAGAAAUGACAAGCCCCAAUUGCUUGCGGCAACCAAGUUCAUAGCACACUUGGUUAAUCAGGUGGUUGUGCAUGAGCUUGUGGCUCUGGAGCUUCUUACUGUACUUCUUGAUAAUCCAAGUGAUGAUAGUGUUGAGGUGGCAGUGGGGUUUGUGAAAGAAUGCGGAGCAAUAUUGCAGGACUUGACUCCUCAGGGGCUUCAUGCUAUGUUUGAACGUUUCCGAGGCAUUCUUCAUGAAGGUGAAAUAGACAAGAGAGUACAGUUUCUCAUUGAAGGCCUUUUUGCUAUUAGAAAGGCCAAAUUUCAGGGAUUCCCAGCCAUCCGGCCAGAACUGGAUCUUGUGGAGCAGGAGGACCAAUUUACUCAUGAUAUGUCCCUUGAAACUGAACUAGACCCUGAGACUAAUCUAAAUGUUUUCAGAGUAAACCCGAACUUUGCUGAAGAUGAGAAGGCCUACGAGAACCUAAAGAAAAGCAUCCUGGGAGAAGAUGAUGAAGAUGAAGAAGGGUCUGAUGAUGCUUCUGAUGGCGAGGACGAAGAAGAAUCAGAUGAUGAAGAGGAUGAAGAGCAGAUGGAGAUAAGAGAUAAAACUGAGACCAAUCUUAUCAACCUUCGAAGAACCAUAUAUUUGACAAUCAUGUCCAGUGUUGAUUUUGAAGAAGCUGGUCACAAGCUUCUAAAAAUUAAACUUGAACCCGGGCAAGAGAUGGAGCUGAACAUCAUGCUUCUCGAGUGUUGCAGUCAAGAGAGGACAUACCUUCGAUACUAUGGUUUAUUAGGGCAGCGGUUUUGCAUGAUUAAUAAAGUUUUUCAAGAAAACUUUGAAAAAUGUUUCGUGCAACAGUAUUCGAUGAUUCAUCGUCUUGAAACAAACAAGUUGAGGAAUGUCGCCAAGUUCUUCGCGCAUUUGUUGGGUACUGAUGCUCUCCCUUGGCACGUCUUGGCCUAUAUCCGGUUGACGGAGGAAGACACCACGUCUUCCUCCCGGAUUUUCAUAAAGAUUCUCUUCCAGGAAUUGUCAGAGCAUCUUGGUAUACGAUUGCUCAACGAGAGGCUAAAUGAUCCAAACAUGCAAGAAUCCUUCGAGUCGGUCUUCCCAAGAGACCACCCAAAGAACACCAGAUUCUCCAUCAAUUUCUUCACCUCCAUCGGUCUGGGAGGCAUCACGGAGAGCCUGCGAGAGUACCUGAAGAACAUGCCCCGCAUGAUAAUGCAGCAACAAAAGCCUCCCUCCCCGUCCGAGUCGGAAUCAAGCGGAGAAAGCUCCGAUUCAGGGUCCAGUUCUCAGUCGGAAUCAAGUUCCGAUGAGAGCGAGAAAAAGCGAAGGAAGAGAAGGAAGAAGUAG